CGCGUGGAAUCAUGGAAUAACGCAAGAAGAGACAGUAGCACUCUCAUCAAAACGAUUAGAAGUUGAUUUAUUUAUUGAAGUCACCAUAACUUAAGAAGCCCUCAUCAGGUAAAAUGAUUCAUGUGUCCAGGAAAAUUAUGAUGUGCUUAGACUGCUGUCGUUGGAAACAAAAGUAUAGCGUAAAAGAUACAAAAGAAAAUAAAAAUGAAACCUCUACGACAAAGAUCAAUGUGGCUCAGAUGAAAGUGUUGAGGAGUGCUGAAACAUCAAAGGCUAACUGUUAUCAAUUGAUGACAAAGGUUGAUCAAGCUUCAUGGCAG